GUCAUCACACCUCACUGGAGGUUUCCCUGCUUUAAUGAGCAUCUCAGAAACUGUAGAGAGGACUGGAGAAUGGGGGUCGUUGUACAUUCUUGUAUUUGAAAGCAGCUCCAUAGUAUCCGCAAGAGGAUUCUUGGCACCUGCCUAGUUAAACUGGAUGUCCAGUGUUAUCUCUCCAGCAUAAAAAUGGAAGUUGCUUCAACUGCAAAAGAAGCCAGGUUAAGUAAACUUUAGAGAUGGAACAAGUGACUUCAAGCCCCAAAAUGUAUGAGAGCACAAAGGUAUGCGGCUGUCAACUGAACAUAUUAACAAGAGACAUCUUACUAAGAGGGUGAGCCAGCUACACUUCAGACGGCUGCAUACAACAUGUGAAUACACGUGGAAGCCCUCUGGAGAUGGAAUCAGAUGCUCUGUGCAGGACCGUAACAUCGAAUACGUAACUCAGGGUGACGUUCUAGGAACGGUUUGUGCAGCCAUGCUGACAGCCCAAGCUUACCAUAUAAGGUAUGGAAAGGGUGGAAACUUUUUUUUUCUGAACCCAAAUCUGGUUUCUGGAUUUGUGAGGAAGGAUCUUUUUGACGUCUCUUUUUGA
rnacentral:lncRNA from 1 species